rnacentral:rRNA from 1 species
CGUAGGUGAACCUGCGGAGGGAUCAUUACAGAGACUCUGCCCUUUGGGUAGACCUCCCACCCUGUGUCGUUAUACCUUUGUUGCUUUGGCGGGCCGCGGGGCUCCGGCCCUGCCCCUGGCUCCGGCUAGGGCGCGCCCGCCGGAGGACUCGAAAACCUGAAUGUUAGUGUCGUCUGAGUACUAUAUAAUAGUUAAAACUUUCAACAACGGAUCUCUUGGUUCUGGCAUCGAUGAAGAACGCAGCGAAAUGCGAUAAGUAAUGUGAAUUGCAGAAUUCAGUGAAUCAUCGAAUCUUUGAACGCACAUUGCGCCCCUUGGUAUUCCGGGGGGCAUGCCUGUUCGAGCGUCAUUACAACCCUCAAGCUCAGCUUGGUCUUGGGCGUCACCGGUCCCCGGUGUGCCUUAAAAUCAGUGGCGGCGCCGUCUGGCUCUAAGCGUAGUACAUACUCUCGCUACAGACGCCCGGCGGAUGCUGGCCAGCAACCCCCAAUCUAUCAAGGUUGACCUCGGAUCAGGUAGGGAUACCCGUC